rnacentral:rRNA from 1 species
UACGUAGGGUCCGAGCGUUGUCCGGAAUUACUGGGCGUAAAGAGCUCGUAGGUGGUUUGUCGCGUUGUCCGUGAAAACUCACAGCUUAACUGUGGGCGUGCGGGCGAUACGGGCAGACUGGAGUACUGCAGGGGAGACUGGAAUUCCUGGUGUAGCGGUGGAAUGCGCAGAUAUCAGGAGGAACACCGGUGGCGAAGGCGGGUCUCUGGGCCGAAAUUGACGCUGAGGAGCGAAAGCGUGGGGAGCAAACAGG